rnacentral:tRNA from 1 species
GCCUGGGUGGCUUAGUGGUUGAGCAUCUGCCUUCAGCUCAGGGCAUGAUCUCAAGGUCCCAGGAUCAAGUCCUGCAUCAGGCU